rnacentral:rRNA from 1 species
UCGUCGAAGCUCACCUCCUCCGCGUCUGCGAUGACCCUUAUAAUUCUCCCCCGGCCGUCUACUCUUCCGCAGCUCCGCCACCAUCCCCGCCUUCCUCUCUCCCUCCUCCUGUCCACUCUUUCGCGAGAUACGUACGAGCCUAGAACAGCCAUGAAGUUCUUCGGUUCCUCCACGUCCAAGAAGGAGAACAAGGGGAAGAAGAGAUCCAAAAGGAGCGGCAACGGCGGCUCCUUCGCCUCCACCGCGUCGUCGUCGGCAUCAGAUGACCAGUCUGUCACAACGCCGAGAUCUGUCCUGCCGUCGUCUUCGGGGCCGGCGGCACCAUCCGGCUCCGGGACGACCAAGAAACCGGCCCUGGUCGCCGUGACGCGGCUGGAGCUGGAGGUGGCGCUGCGUACGGUCGUGUCGACAGAGGAGGAGCUGGCCGCGAUGCUCGCCGAGGCGGAGGCCGGCCUCGCGCUUGAUGGGAUCGUGGCCGCGGAGGCCGCGGACGAGGGCGAGCUGAGGGACACAUUUGCGGUGUUUGACGCUGACGGGGACGGGAGGAUCUCCGCCGAGGAGCUCCGUGCCGUGUUGGCCUCCCUCGGCGACGAGCGGUGUUCCGUCGAGGACUGCGGCCGCAUGAUCGGCGGCGUCGACACCGACGGCGACGGCUUCGUCUGCUUCAACGAGUUUACCCGCAUGAUGAUGCUUGCGCCGUGA